rnacentral:rRNA from 1 species
UUCGUCAUUGCUGCGGUUAAAAAGCUCGUAGUUGGAUCUGAGUCACAUGCAGUGGUUCGCCUUUGGCGUUAAUCGCUGUUGUGACUAUUUGCUGGUUUUCUACUUAGGUUUCGGCCUUUGUAGUGGCUAGCGAGUUUACUUUGAAUAAAUUAGAGUGCUCAGAACAGGCGUUUGCCUGAAUGCUCGAUCAUGGAAUAAUAAAAGAGGACUUCGGUUCUAUUUAUUGGUUCAGGAACUGAAAUAAUGGUUAAGAGGGACAAUUCGGGGGCAUUCGUAUCCCUGCGCGAGAGGUGAAAUUCGUGGACCGCAGGGGGACGCCCUAAAGCGAAAGCAUUUGCCAAGAAUGUCUUCAUUAAUCAAGAACGAAAGUCAGAGGUUCGAAGGCGAUUAGAUACCGCCCUAGUUCUGACCGUAAACUAUGCCAUCUAGCGAUCCGAUGGGGUAUAGUUGCCUUGUCGAGGAGCUUCCCGGAAACGAAAGUCUUUCGGUUCCUGGGGUAGUAUGGUUGCAAAGCUGAAACUUAAAGAAAUUGACGGAAUGGCACCACCAGGAGUGGAGCCUGCGGCUUAAUUUGACUCAACACGGGAAAACUCACCCGGCCCGGACACCGUAAGGAUUGACAGAUUGAAAGCUCUUUCUCGAUUUGGUGGUUGGUGGUGCAUGGCCGUUCUUAGUUGGUGGAGCGAUUUGUCUGGUUUAUUCCGAUAACGAGCGAGACUCUAGCCUGCUAAAUAGUGGCUGGAUUUUUAAGUCCAGUCUACUUCUUAGAGGGAUAAGCGGUGUUUAGCCGCACGAGAUUGAGCGAUAACAGGUCUGUGAUGCCCUUAGAUGUCCGGGGCUGCACGCGCGCUACAAUGGAAGAAUCAGCUGGCCUAUCCAUUGCCGAAAGGCAUUGGUAAACCGUUGAAACUCUUCCGUGACCGGGAUAGGGAAUUGUAAUUAUUUCCCUUGAACGAGGAAUUCCUAGUAAGUGUGAGUCAUCAGCUCACGCUGAUUACGUCCCUGCCAUUUGUACACACCGCCCGUCGCUGUCCGGGACUGAGCUGUCUCGAGAGGACUGCGGACUGCUGUAUCGAGGCCUUCGGGUCGCGGUAUGGGCGGGAAAAAC